UCCGGGUUGGACCCGGCGGUCCCGCCAGACAUGGUAACUGGCAGCGAGGGUUGCGCUCGUUGCGGGACUUAACCCAACAUCUCACGACACGAGCUGACGACAGCCAUGCACCACCUGUGCACCGGCCCCGAAAGGCUGCCGUAUUUCUACGGCAUUCCAGUGCAUGUCAAGCCUUGGUAAGGUUCUUCGCGUUGCGUCGAAUUGAACCACAUGCUCCGCUGCUUGUGCGGGCCCCCGUCAAUUCCUUUGAGUUUCAACCUUGCGGCCGUAGUCCCCAGGCGGCUCACUUAAUGCGUUAGCUGCGGCACCGAGGGUAACCCCCGACACCUAGUGAGCAUCGUUUACAGCGUGGACUAC
rnacentral:misc_RNA from 1 species